AUUUACACUAGAUACAAUUGAGUUGAAAGAAAUGGUUUGGAAACAGACAAGCUUAUCAAAUCAACUAAGGAUUGAGUUGAGUGAUGAACACGACCACUAUAUAUAUGUUCAACGUGCUCGUGUUUAUUGUCUGCUUUUACUUGGUGGUCUGAUGAUCCCGAACGCCUCCGGAAAUAAAAUUUCAUUCUUCUACUUUCAAUUUUUCAUGGAUGCAGAACGAUGUUCUAGCUAUAGCUGGGGUGGUGCGACUCUUGCUUUCUUGUAUCUCAAUUUAUGUGAAGUUGCCCUUGAUAGGAGGACCGAUGUCGGGGGAGCUUGUACUUUGUUACAAUUGUGGGCUUGGGAGAUAAUCCCAAAUAUUAGACCGAAGAUGAUAAAUCCCGUGCAUAUAGACUACGCACCAUGUGCAGUCACCUGGAGUGGUCUGGCGUCAUAUGUAAAAGCACCCGAGCAUUGCAUUGAAAAUUUCAGAGUGGUCCGACAUCAUAUGUAAAACUACGCACCAGAAUGCACGCCAACCAAUUUAUUUGGAGGCCUUAUGUCAUGCGAAACUUGACGGAUAUUUGUGUUGACGAUCGUCUUAUAUGGACGUCGAUAACAUACCUUAUUUGCUGGAAUUUGGUUGAGCCACACAUGCCACAGCGAGUGUUGCGACAAUUUGGGAUUGUCCAACCGUAUAUCCCAAUCCUCAACCAGUUCCACCCGGAAGAGUUUGUGAAACAGGAUCGUCAUGGUAAAUCUGGCCGAAAUUGGGUUGAGUACCAUCACAAUUAUGUACAGGAGUGGGACAAUAGGCAUAACUUGGUAUGGACUGAUUUGGAGUACUCAAAUGAGCCGAUUGCAUAAG